CCACNCAGUAAACGAUGAUAACUAGCUGUUUGCGAUACACAGUAAGCGGCACAGCGAAAGCGUUAAGUUAUCCACCUGGGGAGUACGCCGGCAACGGUGAAACUCAAAGGAAUUGACGGGGGCCCGCACAAGCGGAGGAACAUGUGGUUUAAUUCGAUGAUACGCGAGGAACCUUACCCGGGCUUGAACGUAGGGAGACAGUUCUGGAAACAGAAUCUCUAGCAAUAGCUGCCUACGAGGUGCUGCAUGGUUGUCGUCAGCUCGUGCCGUGAGGUGUCGGCUUAAGUGCCAUAACGAGCGCAGCCCACAUCGAUAGUUACUAACAGGUUAAGCUGAGGACUCUAUCGAGACUGCCAGCGUAAGCUGAGAGGAAGGUGUGGAUGACGUCAAAUCAGCACGGCCCUUACGUCCGGGGCGACACACGUGUUACAAUGGGAGGUACAAAGGGCAGCUACCUGGCGACAGGAUGCUAAUCUCUAAAACCUUUCUCAGUUCGGAUUGGAGUCUGCAACUCGACUCCAUGAAGCUGGAUUCGCUAGUAAUCGCGCAUCAGCCAUGGCGCGGUGAAUACGUUCCCGGGCCUUGUACACACCGCCCGUCAAGCCAUGGAAGCUGGGGGUACCUGAAGUAUGCAACCGCAAGGAGCGUCCUAGGGUAAAACCGGUAACUGGGGCU
rnacentral:rRNA from 1 species